rnacentral:lncRNA from 1 species
AGGAAUAACCCUUUUAUCCUUAUUAUUCUUCCAAACACAAUAAAAUUUGUCAAGUAUAAUUUAUUCUAGUCAAAGCGGGUUAUUCCAGUUGAUCCUGGAAUAACCCGUUAAUUAUAUUCUCCUCCACCCGUAGAAUAAAAUUUAUCCCUGAUGAAUUUAAAGGUGGGGCAAUAAACAAGUGAUUUUUUUCCUUCUUUUUAUGAUGCCUCAACUCACGCACCCUCUAUUUAUGACGCCUCGACUCCCGCACCCCUACUUUACUUCAUCCUCCCAUUCUAUUUCUAUAUAUAGUAUUUACUAGUAUAUAUAUUAUUAGUAUAAAGUUAAUUACU